AUGCACUUGGGUAGAAGAACCAGCUGUGCAGUGUCAAGACCCUUCCCUCAGAGACCUUAUCAGUAAAAUGGCGGGUGGACUCGGGGAUGCCCGAAGACUUUUCCGGACCACGAUUUUCCGAUGCUGGACACAUAUUUAAACAUGAAGGAAUAGACUUGCGACUUUUAAGCGCAAACAAUGGGUGGAAAUGGACAGAAACUGCCUCCGUGCCCACUUGCAGCGGACUACGUAGCCCUGGCAGACAGGCAAUUGCUUCAAACAAGCGCCCUCCAAGGGCGUAAGCUAGAGGGGCCCGGGCGGGCGCUUUCCCGUGGACCCUCCCACCUCGCGGGUAGAGGAAGUCCUUCAGUUCAGGCACAACCCUGAGCGUCCCCCGCAGUCUCCAACUCCGGCGCCAGUCAGGUUGUGGGGUGGGGGCGGCGGAGGGCGGAGAGCGCAGGCGCAGAGUCCGCGCGGCGGCGCCCCUCUCCCUCCGCAGUACUCCGGGCAGCGCCCGCCUCGAUUUUCCCAGGCGAGGGCACGCCCGCGUCAGUCGCCUCCGGGGCACCUUCCUCGCCACGACACGCAGGUAACCGGGCCCCGGGAGCCGGUCGGCGGCGGCGGACUGGGACCUUGAUCCUGCCUGCCCGGCCGCCCGACAAGGGAAUGAGAGCGGACCCCGAACUCCACACACCCGCGUUUAGCCGCCACACCUAAGGGGCACAACAGUCUUUUUGGGUAAGGGCCGGGCUGGGGGCGACGCGCCCCGCCCGCUUUGCAGACUUCGGGGUGCUCUGCACGACGCCUGAAAGGCCGCGGGGCCCGCAUUUCUCUGUGCUGCCCUCCUGGAGAACCGGGACACGGGGACGGGAGGGCCAGCAUCGGCUACGGCCCGGUUUCCCGUUUCUUUCCGCUGUCGCGUGUCUGGGCCCUCCUGCAGCGUCCAUGAUGAAGGCCAGGGGCUGUUGCUUUCCUCUCGCCCAGUAGCCAACCCAAGCAAGGGGUGAGUCACUGUGGCGUCAUAUGGGAUCAAUUUCAAAUACAAGUUUUAAAAAAGGCUGGAUGAUUUUAGAAAUAUGGCCAAGAAUUUGUAUUUUCCAUUACUCUCUUGUCUCAUGUCCAUGACUCUUGAACGCCAGUCUGUGGGCGCUGAGAUUUUCGUGGUACAUCGACGGUUUGUAGACAUCUUUUCCCAAGGGAAGACGAGGGCAAGGGUUAGUGGAGGAAGGGCCUCGUCACGGCCGAGAGUGGCGGAGAAGGCUCAGGGCAAGUCCGCACAGCCUCCAGCAGCCACGGGGAGGAAAAGGCGAAUCUUUCCUCACAGUGCUCUGGGCGCUGUAGAAUUUCUACGCCACGUGCACCCAUUUGGCCUCAUUUGAGAGGAGGAGAGGGAAGAAGGGUCGCGCGGGCCGGCAGGAAAGAGACUCGUGUUGCGGCGGAUGAAGGCUCAGCGCGGACCUGCAUCUCGGGCCAGGUUUUCUUUCACCCGGCUCCGCGAGGAGCGAGGCGGAAAGCUCGGGUCCGAGUGUUGAUCGAGGACCUGGAGAUAGUAACCCCCCACGUCCAGAGUGCUGGGGGUGGGUCCAGAGGGCUGGGGGUAGGUCCAGAGGGCUGGGGGUAGCUCCGGAGGAGCGAUCUUCCUCCGCGGGAAAGGACUUGGCUCAGGCUUGCCUAUGUCCGUGGUGCUGAAGUGCCUCGCGCGCCCUCGUCGACUGACUUCCUGGGCCGCGGCCUGCGUUGCCCUUCUACUCUGCACCUUUGCCAAAAAUAGCCCAUCUCCAUGGCUGGUGGCCAGAGUGGAGCAGGCCCAACACUGAAACUCUUUUCAGACAAGUUGAGGCUGGUUUCCUGAACAUAACCCGAAAGCAAAUGUGGCUUGCCUUGGAGAUUUAAAGCUCUUCAAUGAUGUAGCUCAAAAUGAAAGUUCUUUCAAUCCAACAACUUUGCAGAGAUGCUGAUCCCUCUCCCAGGUGAAUCCUGGCCAGGCCUUUCUGACAAUCCUGGGAUACCCUGGGGCCAGUAUAGAGUUCAAGGGCAGACCAGACUGGGGGAGGGGUUCCUGAGGGACCUGGAACCAGCAUCACCAGCACAGUCAGAAUUGCAACCUAGUGGCAAAGAUAACUGUGAGAACAAUCUCAAAGGUGGGGCCAGGACAGAAAUGGUAGAAUAAAUAGCAGAGCUUGUGAUGGUUAUUAUAGGAUGGGACAAAACUCAAGGAGCAGUUGUAGAAUGCAGUUCAGGACCAAGUCAUUAUUUUUGUUUAAUCAACUUUUAUUAAAUGUGCUCUGGGUGCCAGGAACGCAAAUAUGAAUGAGAGCUCUCUUGCCAUUAUGGAAUUCACAAAGGAGACUGUGACUUGGCAUGUUCCCUUUAGAUGGUGCCUGGAUUUGUUGGAGGAGUGGACAUGGCAGCUUAAAUGAGCCCUCUUGGGCUGUGCACAACCCAGAAAUUUCGAGGUGUGCCAGUGUGUCUGUCUAGUAUCAUUGUGGGAGGAUGUAGAGUCAUUCUAUGAUUGUUUCUGACAUCUCUGUAGCUCUGAGUCUUCUUAGAAGGAGCACUUUAAAAAUCAGAGUUCUGGGCCAGGCAUGGUGGCUCAUGCCUGUAAUCCCAGCACUUUGGGAGGCCAAGGUGGGCGGAUCAUGAGGUCAGGAGAUCAAGACCAUCCUGGCUAACACGGUGAAACCCCGUCUCUACUAAAAAUACAAAAAAUUAGCCAGGUGUGGUGGUGGCCGCCUGUAGUCCCAGCUACUCGGGAGGCUGAGGCAGGAGAAUGGCGUGAACCCGGGAGGCGGAGCUUGCAGUGAGCCGAGAUCGCGCCACUGCACUCCAGGCUGGGUGACAGUGCGAGACUCUGUCUC
rnacentral:lncRNA from 1 species